AGCAGCCGCGGUAAUUCCAGCUCCAAUAGCGUAUAUUAAAGUUGUUGCAGUUAAAAAGCUCGUAGUUGAAUUUCGGGAUCAGUAUGUCGGUCGUGCUUCGGUACGUACUGUCAUUACUGGUUUCUCUCUUCUGACGAACCAUGAUGUCAUUAAUUUGGUGUCUUGGGAAAUCAGGACUGUUACUUUGAAAAAAU
rnacentral:rRNA from 1 species